rfam:Papio anubis isolate 1X1155 chromosome 7, whole genome shotgun sequence.
UGGAUCAAAGCCAGUGGAUUAGGGUAUUGAGCUGUUAACCAAAUUUUUGUGGGUUCGAGUCCCAUUGAUCUAG